UACAGAGGGUGCGAGCGUUAAUCGGAAUUACUGGGCGUAAAGCGUGCGUAGACGGCUAUCUAAGUCGGGUGUGAAAUCCCCGGGCUCAACCUGGGAAUUGCAUUCGAUACUGGAUAGCUAGAGUUCGGCAGAGGGAAGCGGAAUUUCGGGUGUAGCGGUGAAAUGCGUAGAUAUCCGAAGGAACAUCAGUGGCGAAAGCGGCUUCCUGGACCAGAACUGACGAUCAGGCACGAAAGCGUGGGGAGCAAACAGG
rnacentral:rRNA from 1 species